UACGUAGGGACCAAGCGUUGUUCGGAUUUACUGGGCGUAAAGGGCGCGUAGGCGGUUUGUCAAGUCAGUUGUGAAAUCUCCGAGCUUAACUCGGAACGGUCAACUGAUACUGUCAAACUAGAGUACAGAAGGGGCAAUCGGAAUUCUUGGUGUAGCGGUGAAAUGCGUAGAUAUCAAGAGGAACACCUGUGGCGAAGGCGGUUCUCUGGGCAUGUCCUGACGCUGAGGAGCGAAAGUGUGGGGAGCGAACAGG
rnacentral:rRNA from 1 species